GCUCCGGUGGCCAAGUUGGAUUAAGGCAUGUGGCUUAUGUGUCUCAGGCUGGCGUAGCAACUGUUGCGGCCUGGAGAUCAUGAUUUUAUCGCAGAAAAGUUGCUUUUCUAACACAACCGCGAGAUCGUGGGUUCGAGUCCCACCCGGAGCA
rfam:Sporisorium reilianum SRZ2 chromosome 2 complete DNA sequence